GCAACAGGCCGCUAGGCGCACACGCGGAGACCUGCUGUGUAUAAGCUACAAUACCUGGUUACUUCUUCCAGCUUGUGUUUAGACCUGGGCAUCCUGGCCCGAGCUAAUGUUUAUUUUGGAAGGUGGAUCUAGUCCUGGAAAGCACCUCCAAGAUAUACAAUUCCUGGGAAGAGUGAGGAGCUCGGGCAAGGUUGCUGUCACCAUCUGGACCCCAAAGGAUCUGGCGAGUGGAGCACACGGGGAGCGCUGGUCUUUCUGGCAGCCCAUCAGCCCUGGCGUGCAGAUAAAAAGACAUGAAAAGGAGUCAGAUUGUAUAAUUGUCGCUCGGCGCUGUAACUAG
rnacentral:lncRNA from 1 species